GUGAGGAAUUUUCCGCAAUGGGCGAAAGCCUGACGGAGCAAUGCCGCGUGAAGGAUGAAGGCCUAUGGGUUGUAAACUUCUUUUCUCAGAAAAGAAUUAUGACGGUAUCUGAGGAAUAAGCAUCGGCUAACUCUGUGCCAGCAGCCGCGGUAAGACAGAGGAUGCAAGCGUUAUCCGGAAUGAUUGGGCGUAAAGCGUCUGUAGGUUGUUUAAAAAGUAUUCUGUCAAAGAUUAGGGCUUAACCCUAGAUAGGCAGAAUAAACUUUUAAGCUAGAGUUUGGUAGAGGCAGAGGGAAUUCCCGGUGGAGCGGUGAAAUGCGUAGAUAUCGGGAGGAACACCAGAGGCGAAGGCACUCUGCUGGGCCAAUACUAACACUGAGAGACGAAAGCGAGGGGAGCAAAUGGGAUUAGAAACCCCAGUAGUCC
rnacentral:rRNA from 1 species